rnacentral:rRNA from 1 species
AGCACCACAACAGGUGGACGUCCUGCGGUUUAAUCGGACUCAACGCCGGGAAACUCACCAGAUAAGACAGCUGAAUGAUAGUCGGGCUGAAGACUCUACUUGACUAGCUGAGAGGAGGUGCAUGGCCGUCGUCAGUUCGUACUGUGAAGCAUCCUGUUAAGUCAGGCAACGAGCGAGACCCACGUCCACAGUUGCCAGCAUACCCUCCGGGGUGAUGGGUACACUGUGGAGACCGCCGCUGCUAAAGCGGAGGAAGGAAUGGGCAACGGUAGGUCAGUAUGCCCCGAAUCUCCCGGGCUACACGCGGGCUACAAUGGUUGGUACAAUGGGCAUCUACCCCGAAAGGGGAAGGAAAUCUCUUAAAGCCAAUCGUAGUUCGGAUUGAGGGCUGCAACUCGCCCUCAUGAAGCUGGAAUCCGUAGUAAUCGCGUUUCAACAGAACGCGGUGAAUACGUCCCUGCUCCUU